UGCAAUCAGUGGAUGCCUUGGCAGUAAAAGCCGAAGAAGGACGUUUCAAGCCUGCGAAAGUUAUCGGGGAGGUGGCAAGAACUUAUGAUCCGGUAGUGUCCGAAUGGGGAAACCUAACCAGAUUUAUCUGGUUGUUACGCUUUGAUUUAUCAAAGUGUUUCGGGAACUUGGGGAACUGAAAUAUCUAAGUACCCAAAGGAAAAGAAAUCGAAUGAGAACCCCUUAGUAAGCGACGAGCGAACAGGGGCGAGUCUAAACCACGAAUUUAUUCGUGGGGUUGCAGGGCCAGACACAACUUAGUUUUUUCGAUAGAAGAACAAUUUGGAAUAGUUGACCAUAGGGGGUGAGAGUCCCGUAUUCGAAAUUGGAAAAACUAAAGUCUGGUACCUAAGUAAAUCUGGAGACGGCAAACUCUAGAUCGAAUCCGGGCCGACCACGGUCCAAGACUAAAUACUUUUACUGACCGAUAGUGAACUAGUACCGCGAGGGAAAGGUGAAAAGAAGGGCGAGUAGCCCUAUUAAAAGAUCCUGAAACUGAUUGCUAACAAACAGACGGAGUCUGCCGUAAGGUGGAUGACGUCGUGCCUAUUGAAGAAUGAGCCGGCGAGUUACUCAACACAGCAAGGUUAACCGAUAAGUUUCGGGAAGCCGAAGGGAAACCAAGUCUUAACAGGGCGUGUAGUUGUGUUGUGUAGACCCGAAACCAGGUGAGCUAACCAUGAGCAGGCUGAAGGUUGGAGAAAUCCAACUGGAGGGCCGAACAGGUUGAUGUCGCAAAAUCAUCUGAUGACUUGUGGUUAGAGGUAAUAUGCCUAACGAACCUGGAGAUAGCUGGUUCUCCUCGAAACAUGUUUUGGCAUGGCCUCGUAUUUACGGUAUGGGGGGUAGAGUGCUGAAUGGACUUUGCGAAUAAAAUCGUAAUUUCCAACCAAACUCCGAAUACCCAUAUCAAUUGUACGGGAGUCAGUGGCUGGGGGCUAAGCUCCAGUCGCAAAAGGGAAACAUCCCAGACCCUCAAAUAAGGUCUCUAAAUAUAUAUUAAGUGGUAAAGGACGUGUCAUUUCUCAGACACCUAGGAGGUCGGCUCAGAAGCAGCCAUCCUUGAAAGAAAGCGUAACAGCUCACUAGCCGAGAGAUACACGGCCGAAGACGUAACGAGGCUAAAUAUAUUACCGAAUUUAGGGAUUCGCAUCGCAAGAUGUGAGUGGUAGAGGAGCGUUCCUGUAGCUUUGAAGGCUGACCGUAAGGUUUGCUGGAGCGGCAGGAAGUGAGAAUGCCGGCAUGAGUAGCGUAAUAAAGUGAGAAUCUUUAUAUCCGAAUGAGCAAGGUUUCCUACGCAACGUUCGUCGACGUAGGGUAAGGCGACCCUUAGGUGAGGCCAUAAUGGCGUAGCCGAUGGAUUACUGGUCGAUAUUCCAGUCCUUGUCUGUAAUCGUUAUUAACUGGGGCGGGACGAAGUUGGAUAGUCUGGGCGAUGUGUUGAAGAUACAUUCGCUUAAGCAGUUAGUCAGUCACUAUUGGCAAAUCCGUAGUGGCGUUUAUACGAGCUGUGAACACGAGUCUGCCGUAAGGUGGGCAAGUCAGAUGAUUUCAGUUUCCGAGAAAAGCGUCGCAGUGAGAGUGCAGAUAAUCCGUACCACAAACCGACACCGGUGCUCUGGUCGAGUAGACCAAGGAUAGCGAGAGAACUCUUCUUAAGGAACUCGGCAAAUUAGCUAGGCGUAAGUUCUACGAGAUGCCUUGCCCUGAGCAAUAUCAGGGCUACAACAAAAGAUUACAAAGGGGCUGUUUAACAAAAACACAGGUCUGUGCAAAAGAGAAAUCUUAAGUAUACAGGCUGAAACCUGCCCAGUGCCGGAAGGUUAAAUGCGUGGCUGAUCCAUCGCAAGAUGGCUAGGCUGCAAUUGAAGCCCCGGUGAACGGCAGCAGUAACUAUAACUGUCGACUAUAGGGCAGUUAAUAAAUUUGGCUAUAUGCUGGAACAACUCAUGUAUCCGACAGUACUCGAAAGAGUGAAAAUCUGUUCGGUGGAGUCAAUCAGCAGGAAAGAUUUCAACUUCAGUUGAAAAAUCCUCAGAGACUAUACGCCAAACGCAGAUUUAAGUCUGUGAUGAUAUAGUCCGAACUUUAUGGCGACAUAAAGAACCUUCAAGAUUUAUCUUGAAGUGAUAACAUAUAAGUCUAUGGUAGCGAAAUUCCUUGUCGGGUAAGUUCCGACCUGCACGAAAGGUGAAACGACUUUGUAACUGUCUUGAGAAGAGACUCGGCGAAUUUGAAUUGGCUGUGAAGAUGCGGCCUACUGGCAGCAGGACAAAAAGACCCCGUGGAGCUUUACUACAACUUGGCACUGAAAUGUGUAAAGUAACUGUUUAGCAUAGGAGGGAGUACCAGUAUUUAUAUUGGUACAUCAAUGAAAUACCUCUCUUUGCUAUAUACGUUUCUAACCUAAUCCAAAUGCAAACUUUGGAAGGAACACUGUCUGGUGGGUAGUUUAACUGGGGAGGUUGCUUGCUAAAGAGUAACGCAAGCGCACAAAGGUACCCUUUCUCCGGAUGGAAAUCGGAGUGUAAGCGCAUAGGUAUAUGGGUGCUUAACUGUGAGACAUACAAGUCGAUCAGAUACGAAAGUAGGUCUAAGUGAUCCUCGUGUACUUCGUGGGAGGUACCGGGCUUAACGGAUAAAAGCUACCCCGGGGAUAACAGAGUAGUCGCACCUGAGCGUCCACAGCGACGGUGCGGUUCGCUACCUCAACAUAUCGGGGUCCUCUGAGAGUGAUUUCAGAGUGCUGUUUCCCAAAUAAUAAACUCAAAUUUUAUUUGAGAAAAAAGUCAACUCAUAACGGUGAAACCCUAAUUCUUUGAACCGCCUUGAUUUCGGGUAAGUUUCGGAUUAUACUGAAAUUUAAUUGAAAAUAAGGUUAGAAAAGGGCAAUACCGUGGGAAGUUUAUCGGAAAAACAAAAAUCGUUAAUCGAAGGAUGUUUGUUGGGUGAUGGAUAUAUGCGUUGUAAAACCAAUGCACAUCUCCAAAUAACUCACAGCAUCAAACAGAAGGAUUAUGUCGAUUGGAAAUAUGAGAAUUUGUCGGAGUUUAUUUUAACUCCACCAAAAUCUUACAAAGGUAAUGGAACAAGAAUAGGUUACCGCUUCUUUACUAGAAGUUUGCCUGUUUUUACAAAUUACUUUCUUCGUUUUUAUAAAAAACAAAAGAUAAUUCCAAAAGAUCUUAAUUUAACUGCUUUAACUUUAGCUGUUUGGUACAUGGACGACGGCUCAAAAAGCGGUCGAAGCUGUUACUUAAACACGCAAAAAUUUACUUCGGUAGAUCAAGAAUUCUUGAUCAGAUUAUUGCAGAAAAAAUACAAUCUUCAGGCACGUCGAGACAAAGAUAAAAAAUAUUUUCGUCUUCGGUUUACUUUUGAAGAUUCGCAAAAGUUUGUUCGAAUUGUCGAACCAUAUAUUUUGCCAAGUAUGCGGUAUAAAAUUCUGAUAUAACCCCGUAUCGACUGAUUUCAGUUUCGCCACUGGCGAGACGAGAAUGAGAUGGAACGUUUUCCAUCAUACGUUGACCUCUCUUUUAACGAAGAGAUGAAGGUAUAGUCAAGCUAAUCAGUAAUGAUUGGAUUUAAGAGCGAUGUCGGCUCAGCGCAUCCUGGGGCUGAAGAAGGUCCCAAGGGUUGGUCUGUUCGCCCAUUAAAGCGCUACGUGAGCUGGGUUCAAACCGUUUAGAAACUAAGAAAUUGGUUUUUGAACCGUUUGAACCCUUAAAGACACAAAUUACGGCGACGAAGUAUAGGAAUAUAUUUCGUGAAAGUUAACUUAUUUCGGUGAAGUCCAGAACGGAUAAUACCGAGGGAAGAUAGAAGAAAUAUCACCCGUAGAGACUAAACGUUAACCAUCCAGAACGGAUGAAGUUAUAGUCCAAUUCACAUAGGAAUAUGUGUCAACCGAAUGCGUAAGACAGGUUGGUCUCUAUCCGCUGUCAGCGUGGGAUUUUUGAGGGAGUUUGUCUCCAGUACGAGAGGACCGAGAUGAGCCAUUCCCUGGUGUGCCAGUUGUUGUCGUCAGACGCAUUGCUGGGUAGCCACAAUGGUAUUGGAUAAUCGCUGAAUGCAUCUAAGCGAGAAGCCAUUCCUAAGAUGAGAAAUCCAUGUUUCGCAAGAAACGAAAGAACCGUAGUAGACCACUACGUUGAUAGGCAGAGAGUGUAAGCGGCGCAAGUCGUUUAGCUUAUCUGUACUAAUGUUCGAAGAGUAAAUUAAAAA
rnacentral:rRNA from 1 species